GACGAACGCUGGCGGCGUGCUUAACACAUGCAAGUCGAGCGACGCUCUUCCUUCGGGGAGAUGACGGAGCGGCGAACGGGUGAGUAACACGUGGGCAACCUGCCCCUAGCUCUGGGACAACACCGGGAAACCGGUGCUAAUACCGGAUACGACAUCGAGCGGCAUCUCUCGAUGUGGAAAGUUUUUUCGGCUAGGGAUGGGCCCGCGGCCUAUCAGCUUGUUGGUGGGGUAAUGGCCCACCAAGGCGACGACGGGUAGCCGGCCUGAGAGGGCGACCGGCCACACUGGGACUGAGACACGGCCCAGACUCCUACGGGAGGCAACAGUGGGGAAUAUUGCGCAAUGGGCGAAAGCCUGACGCAGCGACGCCGCGUGAGGGAUGACGGCCUUCGGGUUGUAAACCUCUUUCAGCAGGGACGAAUUCAGACGGUACCUGCAGAAGAAGCACCGGCCAACUACGUG
rnacentral:rRNA from 1 species